GUGCGUUUCAGCUAGGUUGGUUCGGGGGCCCUUGUUCUAUCCGCCACGUAUGUGGUCCAUGGAUACCAGGUCAAUGCGCACCGAUCCGGUCUCCCGUGGAGGUCGGCCGUCAGGGUUUCCAUUGAGUAUAUGUCCUCCACUGCCGCCACCCAUUGCCCCAAGGUGGGAGCUCUCGGCUGUUUCCACAUCCUCGGGAUGAGGGAUUUGGCGGCAUUGAGCAG